CCUACGGGGUGCACCAGUGGGGAAUAUUGGGCAAUGGAGGAAACUCUGACCCAGCGACGCCGCGUGCGGGAUGAAGGCCUUCGGGUUGUAAACCGCUUUCAGCAGGGAAGAAGCGAAAGUGACGGUACCUGCAGAAGAAGCACCGGCUAACUAUGUGCCUGCAGCCGCGGUAAUACAUAGGGUGCAAGCGUUGUCCGGAAUUAUUGGGCGUAAAGAGCUCGUAGGUGGUUCGUCACGUCGGAUGUGAAACUCUAGGGCUUAACCCCAGACCUGCAUUCGAUACGGGCGAGCUUGAGUAUGGUAGGGGAGUCUGGAAUUCCUGGUGUAGCGGUGGAAUGCGCAGAUAUCAGGAGGAACACCAAUGGCGAAGGCAGGACUCUGGGCCAUUACUGACGCUGAGGAGCGAAAGCGUGGGGAGCGAACAGGAUUAGAUACCCCAGUAGUC
rnacentral:rRNA from 1 species